GAACGGGUGAGUAACACGUGGGUAAUCUGCCUUACGGAUGGGGGACAACGGCCCCGAAAGGGUCGCUAAUACCGAAUACGUUGAGCGGGACGAUGGUCCUGUUCAAGAAAGACGGGGAUCGCAAGACCUGUCACCGUAAGAUGAGCCUGCGGCUGAUUAGCUAGUUGGCGGGGUAAAGGCCCACCAAGGCGACGAUCAGUAGCCGGCCUGAGAGGGUGUACGGCCACAUUGGGACUGAGAUACGGCCCAGACUCCUACGGGAGGCAGCAGUUAAGAAUCUUGGACAAUGGACGCAAGUCUGAUCCAGCGACGCCGCGUGAACGAUGAAGGUCUUCGGAUUGUAAAGUUCAGUAAGAUGGGACGAAGAAGCUGAAGGUAAUAUUUUCAGUGGUGACGGUACCAUCCUAAAGCCUCGGCUAAAUACGUGCCAGCAGCCGCGGUAAUACGUAUGAGGCAAGCGUUGUUCGGAAUUAUUGGGCGUAAAGGGCAUCUAGGCGGGAUAUUAAGUCAGGUGUGAAAGCCAAGGGCUC
rnacentral:rRNA from 1 species